CGAUCUAGGAAUGCGCGGUAUAAGUUGCACAAACAUUUUAAGAAAUUUACAACACUUGAGGAGGCACUAAGAAACAAGCCAAAAGAAAAUGGUUUGACUCAAGAUAAUUGGAAUUUACUUUGCAAAUAUUGGUCUGAUCCUAAUGUGAAGGCAAAAUGUGAAAAAAAUGCUGAGAAUCAAACAAAGAAUACUAUGCCACAUAACCAAGGAUCUAUGGCUUUCGUGGUGGUCCGCAAUUAGAUUGAGAAGAAUGAACUUAAUGGGGAGGAAUGUGAUCGAAUUAGCUUUUUUAAAUUCACUCAUUUCAAAGAAGGAAAAGGUUGGAUGCCCCUAGUGUUGGUCUGAGAAGAGGAGACUGCUGUCUAGCUUAAGGGAGGCUGUUGGUUUGUGAAACGAUGCCGUCUUAAAUAUAAAAGACUGCAUAGAAACGUUGCCGUUUCAACUAAAGAACAAUCUAUGAAGAACCAAAAACGCAGUCGUCUCAGCUCCAGUCUUUACUAAAAUAAGUGUUGUCUUCUCUGUUGCUAAAUAGAAAUCUGUUCUUUCUCUGUAACCUCACUGUAACUAAUUCUGUUUCUUCAGUUCAGCAGCUCACUAUAUAAGCUGGCUUGUAACAGAUUCUGUUAUUAAUCAAAAACUGGAACAAAAUAAAGUUUUCGUUGCUCUUGUUUCUCUCAUCUCCGUUUCUAUUUCUGUUUGUUUGAGCUCUCUCUAAAAGUUCCACACCCAGAAGUCGAGGCAAAAUAUAAUGAAAUGAUAGAAUUGAAGGAAAAAAGUUCAUCAGAUGACAAACCAUUAACUGCAGAUGAAAUUUGUGAUCAAGUGCUUGGAACUUGAUCAGGAUAUAUUAAGGGACUUAGGUAUGGUCCAAAGCCUUAGAAAAAAGCAGGACCAAGUCUUCAAAUUAAGAGACUUGCAAAUGCUCUUAAAGAAUCUAAAAAUAGAUUUAGAGAAUCAGAGGAAAUAAAUCUCAAGUAUCAAGAGAAAGUA